rnacentral:rRNA from 1 species
CCUACGGGAGGCAGCAGUGAGGAAUUUUCCGCAAUGGGCGAAAGCCUGACGGAGCAAUGCCGCGUGAAGGAUGAAGGCCUAUGGGUUGUAAACUUCUUUUCUCAGAGAAGAAAUUUUGACGGUAUCUGAGGAAUAAGCAUCGGCUAACUCUGUGCCAGCAGCCGCGGUAAGACAGAGGAUGCAAGCGUUAUCCGGAAUGAUUGGGCGUAAAGUGUCUGUAGGUGGCUUAAAAAGUCUCCUGUCAAAGAUCAGGGCUUAACCCUGGGCCGGCAGGAGAAACUCUUAGGCUAGAGUUUGGUAGGGGCAGAGGGAAUUCCCGGUGGAGCGGUGAAAUGCGUAGAGAUCGGGAGGAACACCAAAGGCGAAAGCACUCUGCUGGGCCACAACUGACACUCAGAGACGAAAGCGAGGGGAGCAAAAGGGAUUAGAUACCCCGUGUAGUCCUCGCCGUAAACGAUGGAUACUAGAUGUUGGAUAGGUUAAAUCAUUCAGUAUCGUAGCUAACGCGUGAAGUAUCCCGCCUGGGGAGUAUGCUCGCAAGAGUGAAACUUAAAGGAAUUGACGG